GGUGUUGCGUGGAAGGUAAAGAGGGAUGUUGGUCUGCUCCUCUGGCCGCUCUACCUGCAGAGACGAGACGAGACGAGACGGGGUCACUGAGAGAAGAGAUGGCAGAUGAGAGGAGAUAAGAUCAUGCCAACGAACAUAUCAAACACACGAGUGGCCGCCUGGUUCCAGAUCUGCCCUCUUCCUCUGUCCACCACCUCAUCCCCACGCGGCCACGCCAUCUCCUUCCUCGAUCCUCACACACAAAGAGAAAUGUAGCAGGCGGCUCCAUCACCUGUCGCGUGCGGCGGAGGCCAGCCCAGAUCCGCCUCCUCCAGCCCAUCCUCUUCGUCACGCACAACGGGAAAGGUUAGGUUUGAGCUCCGCCACCCCGUCACAUGCCGUUGUUCGUCGGUAGCAGACCGAGCUCCGCCUCCACACCCACCGUCCUUCACUUCCUCUCCGAAAAUGGCCUCAUCCCUGAUACAGAGAGCAUGAUCAGGGGAGUGGUUUCCGAUAUUGAUGCGAGAAAAAAUGCCUUUGGGUCGAACACAUAUCCCCGAAAGAAAUGAAGAAGCUUCUUGGUAAUGGAUAUGGUUCUCUUAUAUUUGGUAGGAGGCAGAAAAAAUUCAGCAUGGAAAAUCACCACAUUCUACGUGGUGUAUUUAUGAUAGCUCUAAAUGAGUACUUCUGGACACCUGAUUGCUUCUCACUAGGAUGCCCUAUGCGGGAUUAUGGUGACUUCUUCAAAUCUGUGCAAGAUUUCUCCUCUUUAGCAUCACUGGAUUUUUUUAAAAUGUUAGAUCUGAAUUUAGAGUGUACUUCUGCACAGAAGAGUUUGUCCUGAUUACUAUUUUUAUUUUAUUUCUGCAGGCACUGAGGAAUGAUCGAUAUCGUUAAUCAUUUUGGAGGUUUGUUGUAGGGUGCUCUACCAGUCUAUGAUGAUCGAAUGACUGCAGCAUAUAGAAAGGGGCUGGUGCAUUGCUUCGUUCAGCGACGACGUCGACUGGGACAAGGGGUAUCAAUGACAGCGGGGAUCCAUGGCAUGACCUAGUCAUUGCGGACGAGGAGGCUGGCUCAUGGGUUCAACAGCGAGGGCGGAAGAGAAGUUGUUGAAGAUGGUGUGACAAGGCAAGAUAUGCAGGGACUGGUGAGGAGCGGGAUGCAUAAAGACAUUGGGGGUGCAAGGGAGAAGUCGGUCAUACCCGAAGGGAGGGGGAUAUCAAAGGUUGUCAUUGCCAUGAAAUGUUCCCCAAGAUGACCCACGACGGCGACGCUGCGGACACAAUCUCGGUUUUGGCUGGUUUUCUCAGUGUGUGCUUUUGUGUGUGUUUGUGUGGUGGUGGCAGUGAACUCAAGAAUAGUGGUGGCACCCCCUAUUGGAUGAUGGUAUUAAGAGUUAAGGCAGAGACUAAAUGUAAAUGAGUGACCGGCAGGGCGAGCGAAAUGAAACGGAUCGCCAACAAUGUGUUGUGCAUGUGUCUGGUCAUGGGACGGAAGGGCCAUGUGGCACAACACUACCUUUGAAGCUUGUGAAGCCUACCAGGUUUGGAUUCAUUACAGUGGGACGACAUGGCUAAGCACACACUAAUGCAGGAAUACCUAGCAGCGGCGGGCGGUGUCAGUACUAAAACCAGCGGAUGUCGGGUAGGGGGUCCUGAGUUGUGGGUCUAGGAGCAAUGGUAACAGGAAAUAUGGGAGACGAUGUUUACCCAGGUUCAGGCCCUCUUGAAGAGGUAAAAUCCUACGCCCUGCUUUGAUUGUAUUGAUGUGAUGGAGUACAGAGUACAAGAUGGUGUACCUCGAGAUCAGAUGAUUCUGUUCUUUAGGCUUGUCCUUCUCCCCGUAAAUACUAAACCACUCGGCUUAUAUAUGCACCAGGGGUGCCUAGGUUACACAUAUGGUCGGUUGCCAACUAGGAAUAAACACACCGACUACUAGAACUUUCCUUGAAGUACAUGCCAAGUCUUCGGAAGUUUCCAUCUUGCUCACGUCAAGGAUCACAUCUUCGGUAGUCCUCCCUCCAAUGGUUGGUGGGUCAUCAACCCGACCCAUGGAUGACGGGUCGUACAGGUUGAUCCCCCCUUAGUCCAGGACACCCUCAGUAGUCCUUAAACUGGUCUUCAAAGCCUAGGACUACACUCCCUCCUCGGAACGACUUCUUUUGUUGAUGACUUUGGCUUGGCAGGUGGGUUCCUUCUUUGUCAACGCAUAUUUCCAUCUAAAGUCCUUUUAUUACCUGAUAAUUAUCGGGCUUUCUUCUAUAGUUGAACCCGUCACCCAUAUUCUUAAAAGCUCAACCUCGACAAGGAAAGAGUAAGGUUUAUUUUUAUUUUUACAAAGGGCUACCUCCGCGUCCGAGGUCCUGAGUUAACUUAGGCUCAAAGAUUUGCCACACAGGCAUGACCAGUGAGAGAAUUUAAACCCGAAAGCUUUAUCGAACCAUCACCACCUAUUGUGGGAUUGAAUAAGUUAUCACGAAUCGUAUUGUAGCCCGAGGCAGCCUCUUAUUGGUGUGUCUUAUCAAUACGGAGAUCGUGUCCCGGUUUUCAAGGGAUAUCAUCAAUAGGCUAGUUAACCGAUGCAUGUGUAAUGUCACGAAGGGUUGGGAAUAGACGAUUUAUCCGACGCAACACGGGGACUCUUGGUCUUUUACUGGCCUACAAAGUGAGGAGAAGUAAAUCAUUUUUUCCUGCGCUUCCAUCCCGUGCUCCAUAGCCCAAAGCUCACAAAAGCUCUGCAUCCACCUUGAAGCCUCCAACCCGCUCAUAUUCUUCCCCCCAUCCUUCAAUGGAAAUGUACGGCAAGGGAAAAGAUUAUGCGGCCUCAGCAUCUAACGUUGGCUUGAAGAGGCAAUGGGUUCCCUCCAAUGUCACCGUGGGCACCAUCGAGGAGCUCAGGGCUGCAGGAUACAUUCCUGCAUUAGCCAUGUGUCGAGCCCCAAUGGAGGGUGAGACCAGCCAUUCUUCCUCCGCCAUCCCCACUCCCAAGAAAGGGGAAAGGGUGGUUUCCAUCCCUCACCUUGUCCAAGAUUUGGGAUUCCCCCUUAAUCCACUCGUAAGGGGUUUGCUGUUUUACUACGGGUUAGAUUUCCACCACCUAGGCCCAAAUUCAAUUCUCCAUAUAGCCACUUUUAUCACUAUAUGUGAGGCUUUCCUCCGCGUCAAGCCGCACUUCAGCCUCUGGCUGAAGAUGUUUAGUGUGAUGCCAAAGAGUAGUGGCCCCCAGCUCGCUGAAUGCGGUGGGGCCAAGAUAAGAAAACUUCCCAAUGUGAUCUGGCCUAAGGGAACCUUUGUGGAGACCAUCAAGUUGUUGCAGCAGGAAUGGUUUUACAUAACCAACCUGCGCACAAAGGGUCAAAAAGAGACCCCCGUCUUUUCGGCGAGCCUCCAAGAAGGCUUGUUUCCUGGACAGAGAAGAGCAUUGAUUGGGGGAACCCGGACAUGGUGAAGGUGCUCCAAGGGAAGCUCAAGCAGGUGGUCAACAAGGGCAUCAAGCUGGUGGACAUGGUUGAUAACCCACAAGUAUAGGGGAUCAUGACAGUCUUCGAGGGUAGUAUUUGACUAAAUUUAUUAAUUCGACACAAAGGGAGCCAAAGAAUAUUUAUAGGCCUUGGAAGUUGAGUUGUCAAUUCAACCACACAUGGAAAUUUGUUUCUCUACAGCAAAGUGUUUAGUAGCGCAGUAGUUUGAUAGUUUUGAUAGUAGCGGUAAU